rnacentral:rRNA from 1 species
GUGGGGAAUCUUCCGCAAUGGACGAAAGUCUGACGGAGCAACGCCGCGUGAGUGAAGAAGGUUUUCGGAUCGUAAAGCUCUUUCGUUAGGGACGAACGUGCUCUUUGUGAAUAAUGAGGAGUAAUGACGGUACCUAAAUAAGAAGCCACGGCUAACUACGUGCCAGCAGCCGCGGUAAUACGUAGGUGGCAAGCGUUGUCCGGAAUUAUUGGGCGUAAAGCGCGCGCAGGCGGGAUAUCAAGUCUGUCUUAAAAGUGGGAGGCUCAACCUGGUGAGGGGACAGAAACUGGUAUUCUUGAGUGUCGGAGAGGAAAGUGGAAUUCCAAGUGUAGCGGUGAAAUGCGUAGAUAUUAGGAGGAACACCAGUGGCGAAGGCGACUUUCUGGACUGUAACUGACGCUGAGGCUCGAAAGCGUGGGGAGCAAACAGGAUUAGAAACCCUUGUAGUCC